rnacentral:lncRNA from 1 species
UUUAUUUAAGAAAGAAAAAUAAGCUCCAUUGGUUGUUUUACGAUUUUUACAAAUCUUUAAUUUUUCGUAUCAGUGGUAAGGCGUUGAUAUUCUUACUAAACUAGUUUACCUGACUCUUUUAUUAUUAACUAUUUCAUAUCAGGAUGAUCAAAACCUGGACUCUGAGUAGUAAGAAAACUAGCUAAAAGAUUACCUCCUUAUUCUCCAAUUAUGCAGCAGAGGUUGAUCACAUAGGUUUUUCG